GCACAAGCGGUGGAGCAUGUGGUUUAAUUCGAAGCAACGCGAAGAACCUUACCAGGUCUUGACAUCCCCUGACAACCCGAGAGAUCGGGCGUUCCCCUUCGGGGGACAGGGUGACAGGUGGUGCAUGGUUGUCGUCAGCUCGUGUCGUGAGAUGUUGGGUUAAGUCCCGCAACGAGCGCAACCCUCGACCUUAGUUGCCAGCAUUCAGUUGGGCACUCUAAGGUGACUGCCGGCUAAAAGUCGGAGGAAGGUGGGGAUGACGUCAAAUCAUCAUGCCCCUUAUGACCUGGGCUACACACGUGCUACAAUGGGCGGUACAAAGGGUCGCGAACCCGCGAGGGGGAGCCAAUCCCAAAAAGCCGCUCUCAGUUCGGAUUGCAGGCUGCAACUCGCCUGCAUGAAGCCGGAAUCGCUAGUAAUCGCGGAUCAGCAUGCCGCGGUCGAAUACGUUCCCGGGCCUU
rnacentral:rRNA from 1 species